rnacentral:rRNA from 1 species
UACGUAGGUGGCAAGCGUUGUCCGGAUUUAUUGGGUUUAAAGGGUGCGUAGGCGGUCUUUUAAGUCAGUGCUGAAAUAUCCCGGCUUAACCGGGAGGGUGGCAUUGAUACUGAAGGACUUGAGUUCAGUCGAGGUAGGCGGAAUUGACGGUGUAGCGGUGAAAUGCUUAGAUAUCGUCAAGAACACCGAUAGUGUAGACAGCUUACUAGGCUGAAACUGACGCUGAGGCACGAAAGUGUGGGGAGCAAACAGG